GCCGGGGUUGUCGUCUGGUGACGGCGCUUCUCCUACAAAGAAGAUCAGUAGAGUUCGAUCCUCUACCCCGGUACCA
rnacentral:tRNA from 1 species